GGGGACGACAGGCUUCGACGUGGUCGGUUUCGGGCGGGUGGUUGCGAGUCGAGGUUCCGGGUGGCCUCGUAAAACCCCGGAAAAACCAUACGUGCGGACUCUCACGAGUACGCCCUCGCCGCCUAGCACACCGCUAGAGCCGUGAGGUCUCGGCCCCUGCCUGUCGGCCGCGGGGAUCGCCGGGAUCAGAUGCCGACUCACCCGGGGAGGUCCGCUUCCGCCGAACCGGGGACAUCUUCAGGGAGCUGGUCCUGAGCAACCCGGCCGGCAAGGCGAGCCCAGGAUGAGAUCAGAGUGCCGGCUACGCUCGUAGACGCUGCUCGUCCGCGGUCGCGGACGCGGGUUCGAUUCCCGCCGUCUCCACUG
rnacentral:tmRNA from 1 species